CACCCGUGACGGUGAUGCUGCCUAGUGUUUCAUCACCUUCAUACCUCCCUGUUGGACUUGGCCGGACUUUUGUCCGGCCAUUUUU
rnacentral:ncRNA from 1 species